UGGGGAAUAUUGGACAAUGGGCGCAAGCCUGAUCCAGCCAUGCCGCGUGAGUGAAGAAGGCCUUAGGGUUGUAAAGCUCUUUCACCCACGACGAUGAUGACGGUAGUGGGAGAAGAAGCCCCGGCUAACUCCGUGCCAGCAGCCGCGGUAAUACGGAGGGGGCGAGCGUUGUCCGGAUUUACUGGGCGUAAAGGGCGCGUAGGCGGCGCGACAAGUUGGGGGUGAAAUGCCCGGGCUCAACCUGGGAACUGCCUUCGAAACUGUCGUGCUGGAGACCGGGAGAGGAUGGUGGAAUUCCCAGUGUAGAGGUGAAAUUCGUAGAUAUUGGGAAGAACACCGGUGGCGAAGGCGACCAUCUGGACCGGAUCUGACGCUGAGGCGCGAAAGCGUGGGGAGCAAACAGGAUUAGAUACCCCCGUAGUCC
rnacentral:rRNA from 1 species